GAAAUGCGAUAAGUAGUGUGAAUUGCAGAAUUCAGUGAAUCAUCGAAUCUUUGAACGCACAUUGCGCCCCUUGGUAUUCCAUGGGGCAUGCCUGUUCGAGCGUCAUUUGUACCCUCAAGCUCUGCUUGGUGUUGGAUGUUUGUCCCGUCUCCGCGCGUGGACUCGCCCCAAAGUGAUUGGCAGCCGGCGUACUGGUCCCGGAGCGCAGCACAUGUCGCGCAAACGAGUGCCUUGGUACGGCGGCGUCCAUAAGCCCCUCUCUCACGCUCUUGACCUCGGAUCAGGUAGGGAUACCCGCUGAACUUAAGC
rnacentral:misc_RNA from 1 species